CGGGUGAGUAAUGUCUGGAAACUGCCUGAUGGAGGGGGNUAACUACUGGAAACGGUAGCUAAUACCGCAUGACCUCGCAAGAGCAAAGUGGGGGACCUUCGGGCCUCACGCCAUCGGAUGUGCCCAGAUGGGAUUAGCUAGUAGGUGGGGUAAUGGCUCACCUAGGCGACGAUCCCUAGCUGGUCUGAGAGGAUGACCAGCCACACUGGAACUGAGACACGGUCCAGACUCCUACGGGAGGCAGCAGUGGGGAAUAUUGCACAAUGGGCGCAAGCCUGAUGCAGCCAUGCCGCGUGUGUGAAGAAGGCCUUAGGGUUGUAAAGCACUUUCAGCGAGGAGGAAGGCGCUGUAGUUAAUAGCUGCAGCGAUUGACGUUACUCGCAGAAGAAGCACCGGCUAACUCCGUGCCAGCAGCCGCGGUAAUACGGAGGGUGCAAGCGUUAAUCGGAAUUACUGGGCGUAAAGCGCACGCAGGCGGUUUGUUAAGUCAGAUGUGAAAUCCCCGAGCUUAACUUGGGAACUGCAUUUGAAACUGGCAAGCUAGAGUCUUGUAGAGGGGGGUAGAAUUCCAGGUGUAGCGGUGAAAUGCGUAGAGAUCUGGAGGAAUACCGGUGGCGAAGGCGGCCCCCUGGACAAAGACUGACGCUCAGGUGCGAAAGCGUGGGGAGCAAAC
rnacentral:rRNA from 1 species